ACUCUUCACAUUUCAACACCACCGUGGAUCCGCCCCUGUACAAAAGUGCUCUGAUGGUCGUGGAUUUGAUGGAUCUAGGAUUUGUUGCUGUUAAAAUGCAACUUUAAAGGUCGAAGGAGAACGAUUGCCGUAUUUCAAAAGCACUGCCUGCUUGUCAUCGGCCUCAUCACCGGUGUUGUCGCUCGCUGACGUAUGCUGUUGAUGGACAUUUCAAUUUGUUGUGCACUCAUGGCAUCAUAUAAAGUCUGUCGUUCAACCAAAAUCCGAAAAGUAAAAAAAUGUUUUUGAAUGGCAAGCAAUUAA